rnacentral:tRNA from 3 species
GGGCCUGUAGCUCAGUUGGUCAGAGCGCACGCCUGAUAAGCGUGAGGUCGGUGGUUCGAGUCCACCCAGGCCCA